AUUUUUAUUUACUUUUAAAAUAAAAUCACUUGAAGCAUCAGCUUCCUUAAGUUUGACCUAACACUGAUGACAAAGAUGAAGAGCAUAACAGUUUCAGGGAGAAGAAAACUGAGGAGAGCCUACCUUCAUGCUCCUCUUCAUUUGAACCUUCAUUCUCUGCGCCUCCUGACCCCCCUGUUUGUGCCAAGAACAUUUCUUUGACAGCAAGUGGAGAGAAGGUUGUCCCCUGGACCAGGUAAUCCCUCAGACCCGAGCUCCUUCACCAAAGACGGGCUCAUCAUAUACCGUUGCACUGGAUCUGCCAUAGAUGCAACCUGACUGGAUGACGAAGUUACGGUAAGGUGAAGCUUCUGGAUAAAUUAAUUCUUUACCUUAACUGUACUUUGCAGAGAAGCGGAUCGUGUCAUCCUAACUAUGUGUCAGUGGAAAGGAGCCAAUCAGAGCUCCUUCCAGGCGAUCUCAUCUCUGCUUGGCAACAAAACCGCUAAUGAGGUGUCCGGGAGGUUUCAGGAUUUGAUGCGGCUGUUUCGAACAGCUGCCCAUCACUGCACCUCGGAGGAUGUGGCCCCGCCCACUGAGUCUUUAACCCAACCAGAAUAAAACUGCCAUCACUACCUGAGGAAAGUCCUUUCCCUAGCUUUUAUUUUGAAAAGACUCAGCCUGUCAUUCUUGUUUACUAGUCUUUAAACUGUUGUAAAUACCAGAAUAUUUAUACGUAUAAAAUAAAAGAAAACAAAUAAUGUUGGA